AGCUACUGCUCAGAUGUUGACUCACCUGCGGCUGCAGCAUGAUGAGAGAUGAUUGCUCUGGAGAACUUGGGUGCACAACUAUAGACCUUGGCACUUCCUGUAUGGUGGGGACACCUCCAGCGGGCUGCUGAAGUCCUAGCCAAUAGGUGUCAUAUAUUCAACAAGUUGGAGCCAGCUCCCAGAGAUCACAAGUUGGAUCCAAACUACCAAUGCCAACUCCUGGAGAAUGUUAGUCCAGACUCUGCAUACCAAGAAGAAAUCUGCUCCUAUUGUGGACAAACUGUUUCCUCCAUCCCCUGCCCCAAAGGUGUGCUGUAGAGGCUGUACCUGUCAGUCAUGGAGAGAAUGCCCCUCUCUGAAGCAUGAAGGGUGACUGGUAUGGAAUUUGCUACUUCAGCAGACCUUUGACCAUGAAAAAAAAUCUUGAGCCUCUCUCCAAUAAAGGCAAUUCAGAGGGGAGAGAGGAUUUUGCCUUUCCUGGAUAUCCAGCAGCACAUGCAGUUCACAGGGAAAAGACCCCCACUUCCAAGAUGCUUGCAACACUUGCUUCAAGAUUUCUUGGGCUACUAAUAAAAACAUGCUUAAGUACAUAACAGAUGCACAAGUGCCAUUCAAGAUGCAUGUAUUAUGGAUAAUGGACCGUUGUCAGAUUCCUCCUCCUCAUAUCUUCACCUGCUCGCAUGCUAGUUAGCAUGGUUCGGAAUGUACUGGUUGCAGGGAAGGAGAUUCCAGGUUCAAGGACAGCUUUAUAAAACCCAUAUUAUACCCUUUAUGAAAACACAGGACCAAAGAAACACACCUCGAUAAACAGAGAAGCACAGAGACUGUAAGAAAAUACCUUUCACAAGAUCCUCAUGUGUUUUACAUUAGGUUCACUGUACGAGCACAAACUCUGGCACAGCUGGAAAUAUGAGGAUCGCUGAAUACUGAAUUUUCCCAAUAUAUCACAGUUACAGAAACACCUGUGCUAAGUAAUUCCAAAUAAAUCCAUUGACAAUUCAG